rnacentral:lncRNA from 1 species
GUUCUUUCACAAAGCAACUGUAACUUUACAACUGUCUUAAGUCUGUGUUCAAAGUACCGGGGUUUCAAUUGUCUUCGAGCUGGGAUUGCUGUGUGGUACAGGGCCUUCUUUAUUGCUUAAGGCAAGACUUUGAAUGCCCUUUCUAACAAUAUGGGGACUGCUUCGUGACAUUGGCUAAAGAGUUGUAUAACUGUCAGUUGGAUGGAAAUAUCUUACAUACUGGACACAUCAAAAGAUUUUGUCACCUUAAAUGUAAUUUUUACUUUAACUUUAAUAAGUUAAAGUUUCGGUUACUCAACCACAAAUUUUUGAUUUGGCUAAGGGCCUGUUUCCUGAUGUGAUCGUAGGACUAUCUUGACUCCUGUGCUAUAACAUAGACUUACAACCGCCAUAGAGCUACGAUUGCUUUGUAAAAUGGGUCUGUAGUAAUGGACCUGUCAGUCCACAGAUAUGUGGGAGGCAGGCACUGGCAGCUGUUUACAGCAGCUUCCAGAACAGGUUCUUUCAUAAUUGUCUUAAUGUGCAGUUAUAUGUGAAUGGUUUGAUGGGUGAUGUUUUUAUCCAUUGGGGUGGACUCCACUGUUUGGACCACACUGAAUUUAUACUUUUUAACCACUUAGUAAUGAAACAUUUGAUGACAUGAUUUUAUCAUAUAAUUUUAUCAGUUUAAGAUUUUUAUGUCUCAAAAGUGAUACCUUGAUCAGAUGUUUUACGAGAUAUUACUAAAAGGAUUUACAUUGUGGAAAGAUUGUUUCUUUAGUCAAACAUUCUGACAAUAAUCCAACAAUAAUAUCUUUGGUAAAUGUGUAGAAUAUAUAGCUGUUGCCAUGACAAUGUCUUUCACAAACAGUAUGUAAAUAACCACUUUAUUCAAGACUAACAAUUUUUUUUAGCAUUUUACGACUAAAUUGUAUUUAUUGAUAUUUAAACCACCAUGAGAACAGUCUUGUAUUCAAGUCCUAAAGCAUUACAGUAUUUGACUAAACUAGCAUUACACAAACAGAAGGUGAAUCUAAAAAGGGUUACUUGGUGAAAAUAGAUUAUCAGAAUACCGUAUGUCUUCUAAUAGAUAGGUCUACGCAUCAUUAAAUUGUUGCUUGUGAAGCCUGUAAUAUAAAGUCAGCUUAACUUGGCAAAAGUUUGUCCAUAGUUUGAAAUAAGAGUAAAUAUGUAACACCUGUAAUGUCAGUGAAGUCAAAUACUGUAUUCUUUGUUCCAGUGUAGAGAACAGUCUGUUUGAAAUUGUGCAGCUUGUAUUCAUUUGCAGAUGGAUAUUAGAAUGAUCCCACCUGUGUUUUAGAUACGUUUAAACAAGGAAACGUUCCUAGUUACAUUUUUAUACAAAUGGUUGACUUUUAGUGUUUACACAUUUUAUAUGUCUAUUGUUCAUGUCUCAGCAAGAUCUGUGCUCUCCUGAAACCAAAAACUGACAAAUGCACCUUACACAAAUGUAUUACAAAGUCCAGUGACAGUACUUCAUGGGUGUGUAGACAGUGUGCCUCCUUCACCUUCAUAUACAUAUGGAUGGGUAGUUGAACCAAGUUAUGGUCUUGUACCAGUGGGGGAAACUAGCUGCUUUGACCAAUAGGUGAUGGGAUCAUCCAUAUUUGUGGGCCAUGUGCCAUUGCCUUGCAGUGAUCUAUUCUACAUAUUCCUUUGAUAUCAGGCAACUGGACGUUUGCACAGAGUACAUUCACAGAGUAGGGCUUAUUUUUAUGAGUUUUACACUGACUCAUUAUUCAAACUGAAAAUUGAUGUGGCCGUCAUCUUGCAUAUCAGUCAUGUUUUCAAUUGUGAUGGAGGGACAUUGUGUGUGGGAACCCAUGAAGUACUGGAGAUGAGGCAAGGUAUGUCCGAGAGCCCACACAGUAUGCAGGGAGGUGGGGAAGUUGGGAAGGAAAUGAUAGAUGGGAUAUGGUGAAUAUGUUUAUUGGACUGGGGUACAAUUGCCUUGGAUAGUUCAAAAAGUUUUAAAUAUUUACAGAACUCUGGGUAACAGACUGCAUAUCCUAAACUAUGUUUGGGGGUGUUGUGAUACUCUGGUAUUGGGACGUGUGGCCUGGGGGGUGUUAUGAUAGGGUUGGGUGCAGUAGGGUAUGGUUGGUGUUCCAGUAGGGUGGAUUGUGGUCUAUGAUAAGGUGGGUUCUGGUAGGGUAGGGUGGUGUUGCUGUAUGGUGGUAUUAUGGUAGGGUGGUGUUUCUGUAGGGUGGGAUGUUGUGGUCUGACGGAGUGUUAUGAUGGGGUGUGGUAGGGUAGGGUGGUGGUGUGGUAGGGUAGGGUGGUAUUACCCUAUGCUGUUGGUGGGGUGCUGCAGCAGCAUGGGAAGUUGUUUUAUGUUAGAUAUGCGUAAGCACCUCCAGACCAUUGAUGGGAAGGGGACAGAAUAUAAACAACUUUUAUGGAAUGAUCUUUAGGUACAGCGCAUGGCCAUAUUACAUACAAUUGUAAUGGCUUUGGAAUCGUGUAGAGCGAUGCCCGUUUCUAAAAUACUGCUACUCAAAAACGACACCACAUAUUGUCGUAAUAUUUUGUCACAUGAUCGACCAUGAUGUCACGUGACUCUAUUUUGAAGUCAGAGUGACAUGACACAAACAUGUUUGGCUUAAAUGCAAAACCUUUACUAAUAUAUGCCAACAGUAAUUAAGAUAUAGUUGUUUAUGCCAUAGACAUAUUGUGAGUGAUAUUUAGGUGGGAUGUUUGUCUUCCUGAGUUUUGUUCAAGAGAAACAAUAGUAGGACCAAAUGUAUGCAUACCUGGAUUCAUCAUGCAACACUAAUUUCCUUGUGUUAUUGGUGUAUUCCCAACACUAACAGAGUGUUGGUUGGGGUCAUGUUAUGUUCCGAUUGAGACUGGUAUGUCACCACUGGUUCAGAUGUUUUACCAGUAAAAGUUUACUAUUCAUAAUUUAUUUUCUUACUUAUACUGCUUAUUGAGAUUUAUUAGAAAACAUGAAAGAAUAGAAAAACAAGAGAUUGCUUAUAUGAAGUGUAUGUCUGCAUUAAUCAAUAGUUUAUUUAUUUCAUACUUGUCAGUUUGGAUUAACUGUCAAAUAGCUACCAAGUGAAGUAUUUUAAUGUUUUGAGAUGGAAUUGGUUAUACUGUACAUUUGAAAAACUACGUUCCCACUACGCAUGGAGGAUUUCCAAGGUGUGUAGUAAAAGCCUGCCUUUUCCACCUAGUGUUUUAGGGAGACCGCUCCUCAAUCUUGUAACAUUGCCACAUCUACCACUGAGUUAUAAUUGCAAUAUUGCUUACAGCGAUAUACAAGCCCAACGACUUGCUGCUGUGUGUGGCAUGGAGACUACACCACCGUGUACUGUUCUACAAUCUAAUGAUGUAUAUAUAGCCCACCUACUGCGAUGUGUCUAUGCCAGCGGUUUGUGCUGGCUAUAGACCUAGCCAAGGGUAUCCCACUGCAUAAGAGUUUAUUGAAAGUUUAUAUAGAGAUAUAUAGUAUAUUGUUGAGUAUUCAUAUUUUAACCUCAUACAGUUUUGUCAUGAUGUAAAACUUUCAUCCAAUAUUCACAGUCAUGGAGGGAGGUACUGGCCCGAUGAGAUAUAUCUGCAAAUUAUGAGAUUUUUUAAAAUAGAAAAUUGAUUUACCAAUUGUGAUGUAUUAAGCGCUGAUUUUUGCAUUAAUUGCAUGGAAUACAUUUGUAGGUCUAUAUCACAUGAUUGAUAGAGUUGUUAUCUCCAUCUUUGAACAUACUUGUCAUAUUUGUCGUGGCCACAAAUAAAAAUUGAAAGUCCUUUACAUAUCCCUCUACCAUGAAUGACCCAUUUAUAUGUCAAUCAUAAUGCUUGUAAUGGGGAUGUGGAAGCAACAGUGGCCAAUAAGUAGGUCAGGAUUGAGUCUGUAUGUAUAGUAUUUCAUAACACUGGUUGGGGGUGUGUUUGGGAGUGUUAUUUAUCAUAUAGUCUGUGUGUGGAGUAUUUUGGCAGGCCUUAUAUAAAGGGUGGUCAGGCUUUUGUGAACUAUACAUCUUUGACUGUCAUUUAUCACAGUUGUGCAGAGAGAUUCAGAAAGGGUGCUAUUAAGAAAUUAUAAGGUCUUAUAGCUCUCGUGUAUUAGAUCUCCAUUCUAUUUUGAUACACACCCUUGACCAAUCUGCCACCUGUAUCUUCACUUUGGAUGUGACAUCACCAUCUCAAACCCUCACUAAAUUCAACAACCAAUCAAAAGGACUUGAGCAAACCCUCAAUAUUUUGAUUCAAAGACGGUUACAAUGAUCUUUCAACCAGUGAAAGUUUUCAUGCAUAUCAACAUAGGGUCUGUCUUUUUGCUAUUAGAAGUUGUACAUGAGGCAAGUAUACUACUGGUGACUUGUUUUAAUCACAAAAGCACUGCGUGUUUAGUUUUUUUAGAAUUCAUCCUGGCUCAAGAUGUAAAGGCGAGUUAUUCUUAUAAGAACUGAAUUGUAAUACCAGAUUGAUCCACAAAACAAUCAAUGACAUCUUAACCUUAUGUUAGGUUAUAGGAGAAAGUAAAGUCCAAACUUUAACAUCAUUAGUUGGAAGGGGCCAUGGUUCCAUAUUAGUCAUUUGGAUUGCUGUUACAUUUUACACUUAAGGGGGAUAUUGCCAAGAUAUUUUUGCAUACAUCAUUCACCCAAAUCCGCUUGGAAACUGAAAUAAUACUUGACAGCGCUCAAUACAUCAGAUUUGGUAUUCCAUAUUCACAGUGUGCAAGAUUCUGGAAGUCGUUUGUCUGUUUCUCUAGUGAUAAGUAGUGGGCACCUCUAUUUAUAGUAUGAUUGACCUGCAUUUUCGGUGACCUUAGUGUCCCAGGGCUGUAGAGGAACGAUACACUGCAUUUAUUUCUGUAUGUAUAUUUUGUUGUCAGGAAUAUGCAUGCCUUAAUAUUCAGUUGAUGAAUUUUGUACGAUGAGUAAUCAAACCAUAUAUUCUAUCCUGUAACAGGACAGUUCUUGAUGCAUGUUCGUAGCUGAUUGGUAGUAGCAUUGUUAAUAAUCUUGUUACAGAAUCUUUUAAUUGAAUAUACGAUAUUAUAUUUUCAGAACACUUUUAUAGAUAAGAUCUAUUGACUGUUUACUUUAUGAUGAAAUAUAGUUUAAUAUUGGGAAAUGUUAUUUUCUGGAUUCACAAUCAGAAAGGUUGCAAAAUAAUCAAAAGUAGGUAAAUGUAUCCUUGAAUGAUAUAUUUUCAGGAUGCUAAAUCAUAACCUGUGUAACUAUAUUUUCUUGUUACUAAAACAUAAAUUGGUGUUCGGACAUUAAAUCUAUAUUUUGUUUAUAUAUCCUGCAGAAGAAAUCACAAACCAUACUUUAUUUUAAACAAACUGCAUGUCCUAUGUAUAUUAUGACUUGAUUGACAAAAUGACGAGAAUGCCUUCCAUGUUUUCAACAGGGAACUUAAUAUGACAAUCACAAGGUCAAGUUAAAUUGGAUCAUUGUUUUCAAAAUUCACAAAUACAGAUAUCAUGGUUAUUUAGGUUGGUGAAGAAUUGUUAUUUCUUUAACAAGUAGUAUGAAUUCUUGCGAUAUUAUUACUCAUAUUAAUAAAACAUAUAACAUAAUAAUAAUGUGUGACAAAAAUAAUAGGUUAUGUGAUCUUUAUGCAUAAUUAGAACAGUAAGUUCUGCUGAUUUGCCUGAAGUAUUACAUUUCUUUCAAUACAGAAGGCAUGGUUGCACUGAUGUGUGUCCUUAAUGAAGCUGAUGCACGUGUUCAUCAGUUGUACAGGUAAUAUUAGAUGCAUAGUCAAUAGUCCAACUAACAUUGCCAAAAUACACUUUUAAGUCUUUGAUUUUUACUCUGAUGCAUAAAAUAACCAACAAAAACAUGAUGUAUUAUUUUUAUCUUGCAAUAUAAGCUCAUAUCAUUGAAUGGAACUUUUGCAAUAGCAGUGAAAAUGUUUAGUAAAGUUCAGAACAACAUUCCUAAAAGGUUUUAUGUGAAAAUGAAUCACUCAAAGCAUACACAAGAAUCUCAGUGUCUAGGAUGAUUUUGUAGGUAUAUUGGCUUCUCAUAGAUUGGUCUCUUUUUAUGUAAUUUUAUUGGAGUGAAAGUAUCUUCAUUCAUAGAAACAGUACUUCUCAUGAUUUCAUUGUGUUUGAAUCUUGACAUAAAGAAUAUGAAAUAUU